rnacentral:rRNA from 1 species
GUGGGGAAUAUUGGACAAUGGGCGAAAGCCUGAUCCAGCCAUGCCGCGUGUGUGAAGAAGGUCUUCGGAUUGUAAAGCACUUUAAGUUGGGAGGAAGGGCAGUAAGUUAAUACCUUGCUGUUUUGACGUUACCGACAGAAUAAGCACCGGCUAACUUCGUGCCAGCAGCCGCGGUAAUACGAAGGGUGCAAGCGUUAAUCGGAAUUACUGGGCGUAAAGCGAGCGUAGGUGGUUUUGUAAGUUGGAGGUGAAAUCCCCGGGCUCAACCUGGGAACUGCCUCCAAAACUGCAUGACUCGAGUACGGUAGAGGGUAGUGGAAUUUCCUGUGUAGCGGUGAAAUGCGUAGAUAUAGGAAGGAACACCAGUGGCGAAGGCGACUACCUGGACUGAUACUGACACUGAGGUGCGAAAGCGUGGGGAGCAAACAGGAUUAGAUACGCGGGUAGUCC